rnacentral:RNase_P_RNA from 1 species
ACAACGGUUCGAUCUGUCGCUCCGGUCUCCGGACCGGGGAGGAAAGUCGGGACAACACAGAGCGCCAUGCUUCCUAACCGGAAGGACCCGGGUAUGACCGGGGACAGCAAGUGUCACAGAAAAUGACCGCCGGAAUAAAACCGGUAAGGGUGAAAACGCGGUGUAAGAGACCACGGUGGUUUCGGGUGACUGAAAUCGCGGAUAAACCUCAUGGGUUGAAAGACCAAGUAUACCGGCAAUCAAGGGUUGCUCGCCCGAUGCCGGAGGGUAGGUCGCUUUAGUUUGCCGGUGACGGUAAACACAGAUAAAUGACAGAAUAAAACAGAAUCCCGCUUACGGAACCGUUGUUUUU